rnacentral:lncRNA from 1 species
CUUUCAGGUCAUCCAGAGGUGCCCAAGCCACACCAACAGAGAAGAUAGUGAUUCCUACAAUGAAAACAUUUUAAAGUGAAUUGAAAAUCAGGUCUAGCUAAUAUAUGGAAUUAUGUCUAUAUGUUUUCCAUACACUGUUACAUAGUUGCAGCGAAAACUGCUUACUAAUUUCUGGACAAUUAAAUCCCCUGAACAAAUUAAGUUUUCACAGUCAUUGUGACGAGAGUGGCAAAAGAGUGGUCCAAACCAGAAACUCUGCUAUAUCUGUAAUUCGCCACAUUAACAGGUAUCAAAGUCUACUUACCUGUAUUGGAAUUACCCCCUCUGAAACCUACUUCCUUUAUGGCAAACAAAACAUCUUUGGCUGAUGUAAAGUUUUUCAAGUAAAAUUCUAUUUUGGGAUGUUCACUGAGUGGAAGAAAGAAAAUGUUAUUCAGGGAGAAUUAAAAAGAUGAGAAAAUUAAAGCCGUGGGGUUAAUUUGCCCAAACAACAUUCUACAACUCCCGAAGGACAGAAAACAGAAAAGUGAAUCCCUUCAGAAUACAGCAUUUUUAUCUUAAUUGAACCUGAUUAUUUCUGCUCCAGAUCUGUCCAGUGAGAUUUAUCAAGCAGCGGAUGCAUUUUUAGAAAGCACUGUUAAUAUUCUCAAGUUUUACACUGUCAACCUAACAAAGAAUCAGUUUUUACUAUAAAUGAUGCUAGGAAGAGACAAGCUCUUGGCAACAAGUAACAAGAUAACAUAAUACAACAUGUUAAUUUGUGAAUUUACUGUCGAUACUAAAUUGAGAUUAAUGUUAUUAAAUGCUAUUUUU